CCAGCAUAUUGUAGACUAUCAUAAACACAUUUGUUUAUAACAAAAAGUAAUAAAAACAUAUGUAGAUUUUUUUAAAUUGGACGUAUUGCUAUUUUUAUCCUAGUCGAAAUUAUGAAACGAAACGUUUUGACAGUCCGUUUGCCAAUAAGCAGUGAUCAGUUUCUUUUGUUUGUUUUUCUAUUGUUUACCUACUAUAUUAGAUGAUGACUUACCUCCAAAACGCUUUAAAACUUUCGUUUAUAAUUCUAAGUGUGUUUAUAAUUAAAGAGCUACAGUGAAAUAAAAUGAAUUCUUCAAGAAAGGCAGCACCCAUGACAAAAGAUGAGACGAUGAUUCUAGCAGAACUUGUGGCGGCGAAAAAACAUUUCAAUAAUAAGGCAACAAAUGCCACAAACAAUAAAUUGAAGGAGCAGGCUUGGCAAACCCUUGUAAAUGAUUUUAAUUCGUCGAUUCGUCGUUUCCCACGAACUCCAUCGCAGCUUCGACUAAAAUGGGAAAACUUAAAGAACGCUACGGCAACAUAAGAAACAACCUUAGUAAGGCUGGAGGUGGUAAGGAUUGCAGAUGAAAUUUUGGAUAAAGCAUGCACAUUGUUGUAGGUCACAUAUAAUAUUUUUAACACUUUUACAGCCAAGCGGAAACAAGAUGGAAGAAAAGAAAUGCAAGGCUAGCAUAGGGACAAUGCAUUAGCAGAAUAUCUAAUAGCAAAAAAGAGACUUGACUUGGAAAAUAAAGAAAAGGAGAUUGUUGUAGCAAAAGUUAAGUUAGAUUUAGAUAAUUUAAAAAAUUAAAAAUUACUUAAAAGGAAUAUUAAAUUUCAUAAAUUAAGUAGGCAAUAAUAAUUUUAUGU